CGAAGUCGAGCGAACCACUUACCGUGGGAAGGACGGGCGAACGGGUACGGAGGUUAACACGUAACGGUUAGGAUACGUACCCAACGUCAGACGGGACGAACGUUGGAAACGGAUACGCUAAUACCGGACUAAGGUACGAAAGUUUAAACGGAAUGCUCCCUGGCAUCACUGAUGGAUGAGCCUGCGGCGCAUUAGCUAGUUGUGGGGUAAAGGCCUACCAAGGCGACGACUGCGUAGCCGACCUGAGAGGGUGAACGGCCACACUGGGACUGAGACACGGCCCAGACUCCUACGGGAGGCAGCAGUAGGGAAUCUUCGGCAAUGGGCGAAAGCCUGACCGAGCAACGCCGCGUGAAUGAAGAAGGCCUUCGGGUUGUAAAAUUCUGUUAUAAGGGAAGAAAGGUGAUAGGAAGGAAAUGACUAUCAAUUGACGGUACCUUAUGAGAAAGCCACGGCUAACUACGUG
rnacentral:rRNA from 1 species